AGCUCUCCACCUGCUGCAGUUCCAGUGAGCUCUCCACCAGCUAAAUCUCCUUCAGCACCUGCACCAGUUACUCCACCAACAAGCUCUCCUACGGAAAAUGCUCCUCCAGCUCCAGUGGCUGCACCAACCGCCGAGGUUCCUGCGCCGACUCCCAGCAAGAAGAAGUCGAAGAAGCACAAUGCUGCACCAGCUCCUGCUCCAGAGUUGUCAAGCCCACCUGCUCCACCAACUGAGGCACCUGGACCAAGCGCUGAAGCCAACUCACCUGGUCCCUCUGUGUCUGAU
rnacentral:lncRNA from 1 species